UUAGGAAUUUUGCGCAAUGGGGGAAACCCUGACGCAGCCACGCCGCGUGCGGGAUGAAGGCCUUCGGGUCGUAAACCGCUUUUCUCGGGGAAGACACCCGACGGUACUCGAGGAAUAAGCAACGGCUAACUACGUGCCAGCAGCCGCGGUAAUACGUAGGUUGCGAGCGUUGUCCGGAUUUACUGGGCGUAAAGCGCGCGCAGGCGGUCCCGAAAGUCGAAGGUGAAAGCUCCCGGCCCAACUGGGAGAGGCCCUUCGAAACUUCGGGACUUGAAGGCGGGAGAGGCAAAUGGAAUUUCCGGUGUAGCGGUAAAAUGCGUAGAUACCGGAAGGAACACCAGUGGCGAAAGCGAUUUGCUGGCCCGCCCUUGACGCUAAGGCGCGAAAGCUAGGGUAGCGACCGG
rnacentral:rRNA from 1 species